GACGAACGCUGGCGGCGCGCCUAACACAUGCAAGUCGAACGAGCGAGAGAGAGCUUGCUUUCUCGAGCGAGUGGCGAACGGGUGAGUAACGCGUGAGGAACCUGCCUCAAAGAGGGGGACAACAGUUGGAAACGACUGCUAAUACCGCAUAAGCCCACGGCUCGGCAUCGAGCAGGGGGAAAAGGAGCAAUCCGCUUUGAGAUGGCCUCGCGUCCGAUUAGCUAGUUGGUGAGGUAACGGCCCACCAAGGCGACGAUCGGUAGCCGGACUGAGAGGUUGAACGGCCACAUUGGGACUGAGAUACGGCCCAGACUCCUACGGGAGGCAGCAGUGGGGAAUAUUGCACAAUGGGGGAAACCCUGAUGCAGCGACGCCGCGUGGAGGAAGAAGGUCUUCGGAUUGUAAACUCCUGUUGUUGGGGAAGAUAAUGACGGUACCCAACAAGGAAGUGACGGCUAACUACGUG
rnacentral:rRNA from 1 species